rnacentral:rRNA from 1 species
CCUACGGGAGGCAGCAGUGGGGGAUAUUGGACAAUGGGGGGAACCCUGAUCCAGCGACGCCGCGUGAGUGAAGAAGUAUUUCGGUAUGUAAAGCUCUGUCAGCAGGGAAGAAAGAAAUGACGGUACCUGACCAAGAAGCCCCGGCUAACUACGUGCCAGCAGCCGCGGUAAUACGUAGGGGGCAAGCGUUAUCCGGAAUUACUGGGUGUAAAGGGAGCGUAGACGGUUAAGUAAGUCUGGAGUGAAAGGCCGGGGCGCAACCCCGGGACUGCUCUGGAAACUAUUGAACUUGAGUGCAGGAGAGGUAAGCGGAAUUCCUAGUGUAGCGGUGAAAUGCGUAGAUAUUAGGAGGAACACCAGUGGCGAAGGCGGCUUACUGGACUGUAACUGACGUUGAGGCUCGAAAGCGUGGGGAGCAAACAGGAUUAGAUACCCUUGUAGUC